CACAUUCAAUACACUUUGACCCCUUUUUGGUGAGAACUCUUUGGUUGCUCCCUCUCUUCGUGAAUCUGCUAUCUCCUUUGUGCAGUCUCUCUGUGAGAACUCUGUGCCUCACCUUUGCCAACACCUUGGCCGGCGACUUGUUCUCUUGCUUCGAUCUUUCCCUACUUCAUCGUCUCUACACGAUUCCUUGGGCGAUUUCCUUUGUGAUUUUGAGUGUGGUUAUUCGUUCUAUCUUGUAGAGCUCUUUGUAUGUUAUUGGGUUAUUGAUCUGAGUCUUAUUCAAUCCAUUUUUGGUAUCAAUCUUUGUGAUAAUUGAAAUGGAA
rnacentral:lncRNA from 1 species